rnacentral:rRNA from 1 species
UGCAGUCGUACGAGAGUUUUUAACUCAAGUGGCGGACGGGUGAGUAACACGUAAGAAUUUACCUUUAGGAGGGGGACAACAACUGGAAACGGUUGCUAAUACCCCAUAUGCUUUCGAGUGAAAUGGAUUUCCGCCUAAAGAGAAGCUUGCGGCUGAUUAGCUUGUUGGUGAGGUAAUGGCUCACCAAGGCGACGAUCAGUAUCUGGUUUGAGAGGACGAUCAGACACACUGGAACUGAGACACGGUCCAGACUCCUACGGGAGGCAGCAGUGGGGAAUUUUCCGCAAUGGGCGAAAGCCUGACGGAGCAAUACCGCGUGAGGGAUGACGGCCUAUGGGUUGUAAACCUCUUUUUUCAGGGAGGAAUAAAUGACGUGUACCUGAAGAAUAAGCAUCGGCUAACUCCGUGCCAGCAGCCGCGGUAAGACGGAGGAUGCAAGUGUUAUCCGGAAUCACUGGGCGUAAAGCGUCUGUAGGUGGUUUAAUAAGUCAACUGUUAAAUCUUGAGGCUCAACCUCAAAAUCGCAGUCGAAACUAUUAGACUAGAGUAUAGUAGGGGUAAAGGGAAUUUCCAGUGGAGCGGUGAAAUGCGUAGAGAUUGGAAGGAACACCGAUGGCGAAGGCACUUUACUGGGCUAUUACUGACACUCAGAGACGAAAGCUAGGGUAGCAAAUGGGAUUAGAUACCCCAGUAGUCCUAGCCGUAAACAAUGGAUACUAGAUGUUGAACAGAUCGACCUGUGCAGUAUCAAAGCUAACGCGUUAAGUAUCCCGCCUGGGAAGUAUGCUCGCAAGANUGAAACUCAAAGGAAUUGACGGGGGCCCGCACAAGCGGUGGANCAUGUGGUUUAAUUCGAUGC